rnacentral:rRNA from 1 species
GGGCCGCACGCGCGCUACACUGACAGAGCCAGCGAGUUUCUUUCCUUGGCCGAAAGGUCUGGGUAAUCUUGUGAAACUCUGUCGUGCUGGGGAUAGAGCAUUGCAAUUAUUGCUCUUCAACGAGGAAUUCCUAGUAAGCGCAAGUCAUCAGCUUGCGUUGAUUACGUCCC